rnacentral:rRNA from 1 species
CCUACGUGUGGCUGCAGUGGGGAAUAUUGGACAAUGGGGGCAACCCUGAUCCAGCCAUGCCGCGUGUGUGAAGAAGGCCCUCGGGUUGUAAAGCACUUUCAGUGAGGAAGAACGCCUGGUGGUUAAUACCCAUCAGGAAAGACAUCACUCACAGAAGAAGCACCGGCUAACUCCGUGCCAGCAGCCGCGGUAAUACGGAGGGUGCGAGCGUUAAUCGGAAUUACUGGGCGUAAAGCGCGCGUAGGUGGCUUGAUAAGCCGGUUGUGAAAGCCCCGGGCUCAACCUGGGAACGGCAUCCGGAACUGUCAAGCUAGAGUGCAGGAGAGGAAGGUAGAAUUCCCGGUGUAGCGGUGAAAUGCGUAGAGAUCGGGAGGAAUACCAGUGGCGAAGGCGGCCUUCUGGACUGACACUGACACUGAGGUGCGAAAGCGUGGGUAGCAAACAGGAUUAGAUACCCGAGUAGUC